rnacentral:rRNA from 1 species
UACGUAGGGGGCAAGCGUUGUCCGGAUUUAUUGGGCGUAAAGAGCGUGUAGGCGGCCUGAAAGGUCAGCUGUGAAAACUCGAGGCUCAACCUCGAGACGUCGGUUGAAACCAUCUGGCUAGAGUCCGGAGGAGGGGUGUGGAAUUCCCGGUGUAGCGGUGAAAUGCGCAGAUAUCGGGAAGAACACCCGUGGCGAAGGCGGCACUCUGGGACGGUACUGACGCUGAGACGCGAAAGCGUGGGGAGCAAACAGG